CAUGACAUGGCAACCUAUGUCAUCUGCCACCUCAUUUAUUUUAAUUACAUAAUUUGUUAUAUAAAUAAAAGAAUUUCACACCGAAAAAAGAAAAAAAAAAGAAAAAAAGAAAUUCUUUUAUUUAUAUAACAAAUUAUGUAAUUAAAAUAAAUGAGGUGGCAGAUGACAUAGGUUGCCAUGUCAUG
rnacentral:miRNA from 1 species